rnacentral:rRNA from 1 species
UACGUAGGGGGCAAGCGUUGUCCGGAGUUACUGGGCGUAAAGCGCACGCAGGCGGUGCGCCGCGUUUGGGCUGACAGCCCCUUGCCUAACGAGGGGAGCGGUUCAAAAACGGGCGCACUUGAGGGACCCAGAGGGACACAGAAUUCCGGGUGGAGUGGUGAAAUGCGUAGAGAUCCGGAGGAAUACCAAAGGCGAAGGCAGUGUCCUGGGGGUUACCUGACGCUCGGGUGCGAAAGCCAGGGGAGCGAACGGG